rnacentral:rRNA from 1 species
GACGAACGCUGGCGGCGUGCCUAACACAUGCAAGUCGAACGGAAAGAUGCUGCUUUUGCGGGUUGCACGUGAGGCGAAGGCGUGAGAAUAACGUGAGUAUCCUGUCCCUGACUGUGGGAUAUCUUUACGAGACUGCGGCUCAUAUCCGAUAGGAGCUCCUGCACCACAUUGUUGGUUGGAGAGUUUCGGCGGUUGGGGAUGGACUCGCGGCUUACCAGCUUGUUGGUGGGGUAGUGGCUUACCAAGGCUUUGACGGGUAGCCGGCCUGAGAGGGUGACCGGCCACAUUGGGACUGAGAUACGGCCCAGACUCCUACGGGAGGCAGCAGGGGGGAAUAUUGCACAAUGGGCGGAAGCCUGAUGCAGCAACGCCGCGUGCGGGAUGACGGCCUUCGGGUUGUAAACCGCUUUCGCCUGUGACGAAGCGUGAGUGACGGUAAUGGGUAAAGAAGCACCGGCUAACUACGUG